rnacentral:rRNA from 1 species
UAAAGAAUUUCGGUAUGGGAUGGGGAUGCGUUCCAUUAGUUAGUUGGCGGGGUAACGGCCCACCAAGACAACGAUGGAUAGGGGUUCUGAGAGGAAGGUCCCCCACAUUGGAACUGAGACACGGUCCAAACUCCUACGGGAGGCAGCAGUGAGGAAUAUUGGUCAAUGGACGAGAGUCUGAACCAGCCAAGUAGCGUGAAGGAUGACUGCCCUACGGGUUGUAAACUUCUUUUAUAUGGGAAUAAAAUGUUCCACGUGUGGGAUUUUGUAUGUACCAUAUGAAUAAGGAUCGGCUAACUCCGUGCCAGCAGCCGCGGUAAUACGGAGGAUCCGAGCGUUAUCCGGAUUUAUUGGGUUUAAAGGGAGCGUAGGUGGAUUGUUAAGUCAGUUGUGAAAGUUUGCGGCUCAACCGUAAAAUUGCAGUUGAAACUGGCAGUCUUGAGUACAGUAGAGGUGGGCGGAAUUCGUGGUGUAGCGGUGAAAUGCUUAGAUAUCACGAAGAACUCCGAUUGCGAAGGCAGCUCACUGGACUGCAACUGACACUGAGGCUCGAAAGUGUGGGUAUCAAACAGGAUUAGAUACCCUGGUAGUCCACACAGU